rnacentral:lncRNA from 1 species
GGUGAUUUUAGUAUCAACAAUGUAUUUUGGUAGUAAUGUGAUUUACUAUAGGCCAAUGCAAUUAUGCGUUAAGUUUGAAACGAGUCAGGGUAGUGCGGAGUGCACGCUCGUCAAGCCAAACGUGUAAUUGAAUACGAAUAAUUGAAAUGGGGUUUUCGAAAAGGUGUGCCUGUUCGUUUGAAUAGUGGUACCCUUUCCCAACAGACAUGACCGUUUGAAUAGUCGUACCCUUUCCUAAUAGACAUGACCGUUUUUUCGAAAAGGUGUGCCUGUUCGUUUUCUGUUAUUGGUCUCCUAUAUAAGGAGUCAUUUGGCCUCGGUUUUAAAAGAACGAAAAAUACUUCCUCUCUACAUUCUG